UGCUGACCUUUCUUCCCCCCUUUGGUGAGCUGACCUUCUUGUGUCACGAGUGAUGUCAAACCUCCUUCUUGUCUUCUAUUCCGGGAAGUGGUAUAAUAGGUCCCCUAAGGGAAGCCCUUUGGCAGCUGUCCGAGCCUUCCCUUGAUUGUGCCUUUAGGCUUUCUUCUUGCUGCUUUGUUUGCGCUUUCGAAUCCGCUUCUGUAAAGAAAGGAGAAGAGAGAGGCGUCGGCUAACUAAGGACGAUGAUGGAAACUAUCCCAGAAAGGUGAGCAAGAAGAGUCUUCACUACUAGCUAGUAUUGAAAGAAAAGAAGGCCUACCUUCGCUUUGUGCGCUAAGAGCUUUCUUUCCUGUAGGAUAGGAAGAAUGGAAUAGGAAGAUAAAAGGACAUUCUUCAGAGUGAAACUGAACCAGACAAAGGCCCUUCUCUCCGUGAUCAACUUCCUUUCGUAGUACCCAUACCCCCAGGGGAAUUCGAAUCCCCGCCGCCUCCUU
rnacentral:lncRNA from 1 species